UUCCUUUACUGUCCAGACCAUAAUCCCAUAGAAUUCCUUUUUGCCUAUCGAACUCUGUCCUACCUUAAAUGCUAUUUUUACUGAAUCUUUCCGAAAUUCUGUGUUAAUCUUACCCCUAAAAUCCUCAAAUCUUUCGAAGCACAGAGAGAGCCGAUUUACUUCCGCAAUUAUUUAUGUAUCGAUACACUUAACAAAGUAAAGUGUAAUUUAUUCUUGAUUUAUUUUCGAGCCCAACAGGUUUGAUAUAGGGGUUUUCCAAUCGAUUCAGAAAAAGCUAGAGAGAAUGGCGAGUCCUGUCAACGUUACUCAAGUGGGAUCGUAUUUUGUUCGGCAGUAUUAUCAGGCGUUUCAUCAACAAAGGGAUAUUGUGCAUCAGUUUAUUGUUGACAGUUCUAUGAUUAGAAUCGAUGGGGAUUCAAGUGAAUCCUUUUCGGGAAGGGCAAUGAGUAUCUUUUCGAAAUACGAAUUUUGAUUUUGGAUUUCAAUUAUUUCUUGUUAGAUCGGAUUAAGGUUAUCGUAUUGAUUCAGUUACAAUAUUUGUCAUGACAGAAAUAAUAUAGGGUCAUGACUCAUGAAUGCUUAAUGUUUUUCAUUAUUAUUAACAGAUAUCAUCACUUAAAUCAAUGCGCUCCUCAAUUCACAUAUUAAUGGACGCAAGGACCCACUGCUACCUAAACCGUUAAUAAUCUUUAGUAAUGAUGAUUAUCAUCAUUUGUCACGAAUGCAAUAAACUUAAUGUCAUUUGGGUAA